UUGCCCCUACGGGAGGCAGCAGUAGGGAAUCUUCGGCAAUGGACGAAAGUCUGACCGAGCAACGCCGCGUGAGUGAAGAAGGUUUUCGGAUCGUAAAACUCUGUUGGUAGAGAAGAACGUUGGGGAGAGGGGAAAGCUCAUCAAGUGACGGUAACUACCCAGAAAGGGACGGCUAACUACGUGCCAGCAGCCGCGGUAAUACGUAGGACCCGAGCGUUGUCCGGAUUUAUUGGGCGUAAAGCGAGCGC
rnacentral:rRNA from 1 species